rnacentral:lncRNA from 1 species
CACCAGUCCACCAAUAUUUUUACACAUCCUUGCAAAGCAUUUCUUGUUUUACUCCCUUUUUCCAAGGCUAACAAUGUUGAAUCAGCUGAAAAUGUUUAAAUAAAUUGAUUUGAUUGAUGAGCAAUGCAGUCAUUAGAAUAUAGGGUAAAUAAAAAUGAAGAACUAACACAUUCUUGCGAUGAUCUGACAUUUGUAAUAAUAGAAAAUGAUUCAACAUUGUUUACCUUCACUAUUUAAAAGAAUUUUUAGAAUUCAGUCAUUUUUAUCAUAUAAAAUAUGUCAGUCCCAUUUUUAGAAGCUCUGAGGACGUCUCAAGGACUAUAAUUUGGAAUAUUUUGAGAGUCAAAUAAAUGUACAAUACAAAACAGUGUUGCUGGUAUAAGCUUGUUGUUGUAACCAGAUUGUAAUUUGAUAAUGCAUGUAAAUUUCUUUGUGUAUUAUUCUUGGUGUCAAUGUUCUGUGAUGGUCAGACUCGGUCAGACCUUGAGCCCUCUUACAUCGUCUGCCAAGCAUCUUACUUCUGUGGUUUGUUUUUGUAAAGAGUACUUCUAGAGUUCUAUGCUGUUUUUUUGCUACAAUGUGACACAUCAUAUUGAGUAUUGCCUUUUUUAUGUGAUUGUUUUUGUGACAAAAGAAAGAAUUGUUGUGCAAGAAAUUCCUGCCCCGAAAAUGAAAUCCUGCACAGGGCUGAUUCUUCUCUUGCUGGGAUUGCUUGGGGCUUCUUCAGCAGAAAAUUCCACAAAUGUGUACUACCUUGAGCUUCGCAUAGAAGAGGCAGCAUAUGAGAAUUUUACAAAGAUGCUUAAAGAACUUACACUGGAUAUAGAUAGCUCAGCAACAGUAGGAAGCCUUAGUGUGACAACAGUUCUUGUCAAUGGAUUACUUACCCUUGAUGAACAAUUUCCCACAAAUCAAGAGGAAUUUAAACAUAAAUACACUACUGAGCUGGAAAAGUGGUACAGUAUGUUGGGCUGGUUUGAUUCAGUAAGCAUCACGGGACUCAGGCUUGGUAGUGUGAUUGUAGAAUUUGUGAUGUCAUUUUCAGAGCAGUUUAAUGUGGAUGCCCUUGAGAAGAUAACCAAUGGUUUAAAAAACAACAUCACUGGCGCCAAUAUCAAUCUCACAGUUGCAGGAAUCACCCACAUCUCAGGACCCAAAAAAAUAGUUCCUUAUAACACUCCUACCAGUCUAACAUGUUCAACAUUAGCGGAUCUGAAAAACCCCACAUGGUUUUUCCUAACAGACACAAAUAAAUUGAAGGAAAUUACCAAUGGGACUGAAGCUAGAGUGGUGCCGAGUUCGAAGCAGAGCACAAUCUAUAUUACUGCAGCUACAGAAGUCUGGAAAGGUGGGUUUACUUCAAAUAGGAAUCAUGGCAGUGAUGACAGUGACUAUGAUGACAUUGUAUUG